rnacentral:rRNA from 1 species
AUGGCAAUUGUCCAUACAUACGGGAAACCUGACAUCUUCUUGACCAUGACUUGCAAUCCUAAAUGGGAAGAGAUAACGAAUGAGUUGCUGCCUGGUCAGAUGGCGCAAGACCGACCUGAUAUUGUGGCUCGCGUGUUUUACGACAAACUAGAGGCUAUGAAAGACAUGUUGUUCAAGAAGCAGAUCCUGGGUGUUGUUGUCGCUUAUGUAUACGUAGUCGAGUUCCAAAGA